CACCAAUGCGAUCCUUCACUUAAAGAUAGAAAAGAAAAAUAGAAAACACACCAGCUCAAACUGAAAGCCGGAUGUAAUUUCCGCAGCCUAAUGAAGGAAUGCGAGGAUUGGGUUCGCACGUUCUUAUCCGUGUGGAAAGUCCCUGAAGUUCCCCGUCGAAACAAUCGCUCUCCAUCUCCGCUCGGGAAAUGAGCUUUAAAUCGUGAGGAAAAGGAAGGCCGGUUUUGACAGCCGACGUGCAAAUAUGAGGCGAUGGAAUCUCAAUGAGGCUCGAAAAAGGGAAAUGCAUAAAUAGAUUAGAGUGAAUGUGCCCAAGCAAAUCUAAUUAUGAAGCCGCCGGAUCUCCUGAUUUAGGAGAGAGAGAGAGUGUGUGUGUGUGUGUGUGUGUCCACACUCUUUGGCAUGUAUUUGAUGAGAUUUGUGACGUAGACAAAGAACUAGAGUCUCAGAUUUCCAUGUAAAUUGGAUGAGCUUCUGCUGCAGGUUUGCAUGAGGAAUCGUUAACAGUCUGAGAUGAACAAUUCAGCUUUCAUCAAACUCAGGGACUCCAGACUUCACCAUCACUCAUCCAUUACUGACGGAGACAGAAAAUCAUGUACGUUUUGGAGGACAAGAACCAUCACAAACACACAUUAGCUUUGGCUUUUCAAGGAUGUGAUGUAUAAUUCAUUUUGGAGAGAGGAAAGGGAAGGUGUGGAUAAAACAUUUAUUUCUCUUCCGCUCCCAUAAACAGGCCUUUUAGCGUUUCAGCGAGUGUGAGGAGGAUCCAGACGAGAUUUAAAUCAGCAAAGUCUGGAUUCAUUCUUCACGUUCAACCCUCAAAUCAGAAGAAGAAAAUGACAUUUAAUUAUGUAAAAAUAAAAUUGAUUAUGCAAAUGACAAACAUUUUUCUCUCCACAUCACAACAUUUUAACCUUUGAUUGAGUCGUAAAAUGGUUUCAUUCACUGACCUUGUUUUGUAAUUUGUUGAUUUACUCAAAGCUUGUUGCACUAUUAAUAAAACUGCUGUAAUAGCACAUCACAAAGCAAGCUGUUAAAAGUCACAACUAGGGCUGCAUGGGCAACGA